rnacentral:miRNA from 1 species
GAGGUCGAUUUUCGACGUCAUAAACACGAUCAACUUUGGUGUUUAUGACGUCGAUAUUCGACGUCAUAAACACGAUCAAGUUUGCUGCUUAUGACGUCGAUAUUCGACGUCAUAAACACGAUCAAGUUUGGUGUUUAUGACGUCGAUAUUGGACGUCAUAAACACGAUCAACUUAGGUGUUUAUGACGUCGAUCUUCGACGUCAUAAAUACGAUCAACUUUGGUUUUGAUGACGUCGAUAUUCGACGUC